rnacentral:tRNA from 1 species
AACGGCGUAGCUCAGUAAGGUAGAGCGGUCUACAAAACAGAUGCGUCGGCGGUUCGAGUCCGCCCGCCGUUCCA